ACGGAAGGCAGCAGUGGGGAAUAUUGCACAAUGGGGGAAACCCUGAUGCAGCGACGCCGCGUGAGCGAUGAAGUAUUUCGGUAUGUAAAGCUCUAUCAGCAGGGAAGAUAAUGACGGUACCUGACUAAGAAGCUCCGGCUAAAUACGUGCCAGCAGCCGUGGUAAUACGUAGGGGGCAAGCGUUAUCCGGAUUUACUGGGUGUAAAGGGAGCGUAGACGGCACAGCAAGUCUGAAGUGAAAUGUAGGGGCUUAACCCCUGAACUGCUUUGGGAACUGUUGGGCUUGAGUACCGGAGGGGCAGGCGGAAUUCCUGGUGUAGCGGUGAAAUGCGUAGAUAUCAGGAAGAACACCGGUGGCGAAGGCGGCCUGCUGGACGGUAACUGACGUUGAUGCUCGAAAGCGUGGGGAGCAAACAGGAUUAGAUACCCUGGUA
rnacentral:rRNA from 1 species